CGGAAAUGAGCAAGAACUCUCGUUCUAGGUUGUGGGUUCUCGUUCUUCUGAUUAGACAAAAUUUUACUCCACCUCCAAGGCAAGAAACUCAAAUUCGGAAGGCAUGCCAGAAGAAAGCCUUUUUCCAACAUCUCAUCAAAAAACCAUGUGUGCCUGAUGUUCAGUGUAAAAAGAGACCAAAACAAAACAUUUUUUCCAACAAGCACUCAAGGUGUUCAGCAGCUAAUCAUCCACACAGUCACACCAUCUUUCUCACCUCGUUCACCAUGACGACUGCCUACGCCUCCAACGCCUUCACCCAUGUCCUGACACAACAGCACUUUCACUCUUAUCCCAGCUCUUGACGCAUAACAAACAAGUGAAAUUGUAUAAAGAUCAGCUUUACCAUUUAAAUGGAAAUUUCCUUUGUGCCAUAUGUUAAAGUCAAG
ensembl:lncRNA